rnacentral:rRNA from 1 species
AUUGAACGCUGGCGGCAGGCUUAACACAUGCAAGUCGAACGAGGGGCGGACGGGUGGGUAAUGCUUGGUAACCUGGCUUAUGGAGGGGGAUAACUACGGGAAACGGUAGCUAAUACCGCGUACCAUAGGAUGAGCCCAGGUGGGAUUAGGUAGUUGGUGGGGUAAAGGCUCACCAAGGCGACGAUCCCUAGCUGGUCUGAGAGGAUGACCAGGCACCCUGGAACUGAGACACGGCCCAGACUCCUACGGGAGGCAGCAGUGGGGAAUAUUGCACAAUGGGGGCAAGCCUGAUGCAGCCAUGCCGCGUGUAUGAAGAAGGCCUUCGGGUUGUAAAGUACUUUCGGUAGCGAGGCGUUACCUACAGAAGAAGCACCGGCUAACUCCGUGCCAGCAGCCGCGGUAAUUC